CCCUUAGAUGUUCUGGGCUGCACCCGUGCUACACUGGCAGGUUCAGCGAGCUUCAUGCCCUGAUCUGAAAGGAAUGGGAAAUCUUUUCAAAACCUGCCGUGCUUGGGAUAGAUGUUUGCAAUUAUUCAUCUUCAACGAGGAUUGCCUUGUAAGCGCACGUCAUCAGCGUGCAUUGAAUACGACCCUGUAUUCUGUACACACCGCCCGUCGCUCCUACCGAUUGAAGUUUUCGGUGAGUUGACAGGAGGAUUUUUUUGAAACUGGUUCGCCAGUGGAUUUUAGAUCCAAAUGCCAACGAAUCGAUGGCUUUAGAGGAUGGAGAAGUCGUAACA
rnacentral:rRNA from 1 species